rnacentral:rRNA from 1 species
AGUGAACGCUGGCGGCAGGCCUAAUACAUGCAAGUCGAACGGCAGCACAGCAGAGCUUGCUCUGUGGGUGGCGAGUGGCGGACGGGUGAGGAAUACAUGGGAAUCUGCCCAGUCGUGGGGGAUAACGUAUGGAAACGUACGCUAAUACCGCAUGCGCCCUUUGGGGGAAAGCCGGGGACCUUCGGGCCUGGCGCGAUUGGAUGAGCCCAUGUUCGAUUAGCUAGUUGGCGGGGUAAAGGCCCACCAAGGCGACGAUCGAUAGCUGGUCUGAGAGGAUGAUCAGCCACACUGAGACUGAGACGCGGCCCAGACUCCUACGGGAGGCAGCAUUAGGGAAUAUUGGACAAAGGGCGCAAGCCUGAUCCAGCCAUGCCGCGUGAGUGAAGAAGGCCCUCGGGUUGUAAAGCUCUUUUGUCCGGAAAGAAAAGCAUUCGGUUAAUACCCGGGUGUUCUGACGGUACCGUAAGAAUAAGCACCGGCUAACUUCGUG